CCGCCGGCGCCCACGCUCGUCAGCAGCAAAUGGCGUCGCGGCUGCUGACGUUGCUUUUCCCCGCCUCCCGCCCACGCACCGUUCCCGGUAGUGCAAUAGAUUUUAUACUCUGCUGGGGAAGAGAUAUUAAUGUGUGUUUGUUGCUGUGUUCUCUGCAGUGGGCCGCGGAGAGCAGGUGGAGCAGCGCCCUUCCACCUUGAGAGUCCAGGAAGGAGACACCUCCGUGAUCAACUGUACUUAUUCAGACAGUGCUUCAACCUACUUCCCUUGCUCCUGUCCCAGAAGAAGCUCCUUGCUUGGACCACAUCCCAGGAAUGGAGAGAAAGGAAAGAUCCACAGAGACUAAGUGACCUGGAUUCAAGGUCAAAGAACUGCCUCAGAAGGGGCUUUCUUCACGAUAAACUUCACUAAAUAUAAGCUACAGUUAAAGCCAGAAAUUACCCAUCUCUUUUCUAGUACGUCCAGCACCCUGGAAAAACACCACAGCUCCUCUUCAGAGUCUCAAAGGCCAAUGACAAGGGAGGGAACAAAGAUUUUGAAGAUAAAGAAACCAGCUCCUUUCACUUGGAGAAAGCCUCAGUGCAAGAGUGAGACUUGGCUGUGUACUACUGUGCUGUGAGUGAGACAGUGGCAGGAACUGCCGGGGAAACUGCGAACAAACUCUGAGUGAUGACAAAGGAUCUGGUUGCUUAGUGUCUUUUGUGGAAUCCACUGUGGCUUCAGCAGUCUGUAGUGUGUGCUGUGCCCUGUUGUUACUGUGGUUGAUGUCAAAUCAAAGAAAUGUCCAGAGAAGAAGAACAAGAAGUUAUUAUCUUCCACACUCAGCUUUUCAUUAGUGAACUGAAAGCAGAGUCUGGGGCUGACAGUUCCUCAUGUACGGCUAAAGUAAUUUCAAGUCAAAACUACAUAAAGAAGUGGUCUCUACACUGUUGCUUACAAAGCUCAACUCCCACAUGUUGUUCCAGGUUACUGUGCUAGAUUUUGUGGUGUCUUAUUUUAGUUUUAGGCACUCAGCUUUGUCAGAGAAGGCGAUACCUGCAUAAUGUCUCCCUAACAGAGUAUGGCAAUAGAGUUGAUAGGAGAGCCACAUUGCUCAUCAAAGCUCAGCAUUUGUUUUUGAUAGGAUAUUGUUAUGUUACCUAGGCUGACAUUCAACUCUGAUCCUACUGCCUCAGCCUCCUUAGAGUUGGGAAUACAGGUUUGAGCCACCAUGCCUGGAAAAAUCCCAGAAUCUUAGGGGAGAAUGAAAGAUAGAUAGAUAGAUAGAUAGAUAGAGAGAGAGAGAGAGAGAGAGAGAGAGAGAGAGAGAAAGAGAAACAGAACUUCACAUGCAGUGAUGAUACAAAGACAGGAAAGAGGUUUUCAUUAUGCAGAGGAAGAAGCACUCUUUUCUUUUUUCUAAACCAGAAAGUAGAAAAAGACGAUGUUCAAAAGAAAGGGAGAGAACAAAAGUAAAAUUGGAAGAAUGAGUCAUGUCUAAAUGGUGAGGUUCUCUGGCCAGUUACAUAGAUCAUUUGGCUUUGCAUCAAAGGCUUGAGGGAGUUUAGUGUCAUUGGAAGGUUUAUCCUGUGUUUCUAGAAACCCUAUUAAAAAGACAGAAAAGAAAUUUCAAAGGGUGCAAACUCACAAGUAGUAUGAAAAAGGAGAUGAGAACAUACAGACCAGGAUGAGAUGAAGCCCGAGCUUCGUGAGAGAAACUACCAAGGAGCACUGGAUAUGGUUCUUCCUAGGAAGAUGUAGGAAUCAGAAGCACCAAUUACUCUGGAAUCAUUGAGGUGUGUGUGUGUGUGUGUGUGUGUGUGUGUGUGUGUGUGUGUGUUGUAUAUUGUAUGUUUCAAUGCGAGAAGCUGCAAGGAGAUCUUGUGAAAAUAUAUAUAACCUAUCACCUAUGCUUUCCACCAUAUCCUAGAAAACAGUGAUCACUUUUCCAAACCAGAAAAUAACAACAACCAACUUGAAGUAUUUUUCAUAAAUUGACAACACAUUAGAAAAAAGUAAGAGAGACACAACUAAAAUAGAAAAAUACAUCAGUCGAUAAGUCAUAUAUGGAAAAAUAUUACUCAAGACAAGGGAUAUUCAAAGUAGUCUGAGUGGUUCAAAUAAUUGCCCCUAAGACAUAUUUUACCAUCUUUAGCAAUGAUUGAGCAUCAUAUCCAAUUUCCCUAAACUUUGUGUAUUACCAAGCAGGUUGACUUCUGUUAUUAUCUAGAUUUUAUACUUACAGAAGUAAUUAAUGUAAUUAUAAAUCAAGUGGAACUUUAUUGAACAUAUUUAAGACAUUUACAUUUUUCUGAAUAUUGUCCAUUUAUAUAUCAGCCC
ensembl:lincRNA